GCAGCCGUCUGCUGGGUUCCCCCUCCCCAGUUUCAAAAUUCAGGCAAAUCCUGUCAAGUGACUUUGACAGGGGCGUCUUCCUUCCUGCACAGCCCGGAGGAAAGAAUCCCUGCCCCGCCGGAGACUCGCCUCGUUGGUCUCUGUAUUGACAGAAACUGAGGCAAAACCACGUUGCUGCUGCUCUCUUCUGUCUACCGCAGGCACCAAAAACCCCAGGCCUCGGGCCUGUCACACCUCAACCCGCAAAUCCCCCUCCUUGUGCCUGCAGCCCCGUAGUGCACGAAAGACCCUCAGGACCUCGGCUACCAGACAAGACAGGGCGCUUUUACUGCCUCUCCGGUGGCAGCUCCUGCCCAGCUCCUGCGGCUUCACCCUGGCUGUUCAGCCACCGCUUAUCUCCCGCGCACAAGCUAUUGGGACUUCUGCCACGGCAAUACCCACCCGAGGCUUUUACUUACUUCAGCGGUCGCUAGAAAGCCUGUACUGGUUCUGGAACGGGAAGAAGGGAUGAUCCUGAACUUGUGAGAGGAAGAGCAGCAGCGAGGCCAGAAGCGCAGCCAAGCAGCGUGAGGUGGGGACGUGGAUUGGAUUCUCCUUUGUGGAAGGCCACAACGACCACACUGGGGAAGACAGUGCCAAACUGGUGGAGAGAGGUUUGUCGUUCAUGCAGCUCGUUUCCACCGCCAGUGAUGGAAUCCAGAUACUACCUGGUUUGAGAUGCAGCGCUCCAGUCGAAUACAGGAUGUGACAGCAGUAUUUCCCUCAGCAGCACUUGCAAACUGACCAUCUCUCUGGAUUUCAAAAGGCAUUUUUGUAACUUCAGUCUUUGCAUUUCAGUGUAGUGGUUUGAAACAAAUACUAGCUCUACAACG